rnacentral:ncRNA from 1 species
CUCUGACAAUAGCAAAUUCAUUGAAAAAUGAAGACGCAAAACUACGGACCUAAGGCAUUAGCUAAGGCUGCCGAGUUACCGAA